rnacentral:rRNA from 1 species
CAACUUUCAGCAACGGAUCUCUUGGCUCUCGCAUCGAUGAAGAACGCAGCGAAAUGCGAUAAGUAAUGUGAAUUGCAGAAUUCAGUGAAUCAUCGAAUCUUUGAACGCACCUUGCGCCCUUUGGUAUUCCGAAGGGCAUGCCUGUUUGAGUGUC